UACGUAGGUGGCGAGCGUUGUCCGGAUUUACUGGGCGUAAAGCGCGUGCAGGCGGUUCGUUAAGUCUGGGGUGAAAUCUCCCGGCUCAACUGGGAGGGGUUCUCAGAUACUGGCGGACUUGAGGGAGGUAGAGGAGAGUAGAAUUCUCGGUGUAGUGGUGAUAUGCGUAGAUAUCGAGAGGAAUACCAGUGGCGAAGGACGGCUCUCUGGACCUUACCUGACGCUAAGACGCGAAAGCGUGGGGAGCGAACCGG
rnacentral:rRNA from 1 species